GACGAACGCUGGCGGCGUGCUUAACACAUGCAAGUCGAACGAAGAGCGAUGGAAGCUUGCUUCUAUCAAUCUUAGUGGCGAACGGGUGAGUAACGCGUAAUCAACCUGCCCUUCAGAGGGGGACAACAGUUGGAAACGACUGCUAAUACCGCAUACGAUCUAAUCUCGGCAUCGAGGAUAGAUGAAAGGUGGCCUCUACAGGUAAGCUAUCACUGAAGGAGGGGGUUGCGUCUGAUUAGCUAGUUGGAGGGGUAACGGCCCACCAAGGCGAUGAUCAGUAGCCGGUCUGAGAGGAUGAACGGCCACAUUGGGACUGAGACACGGCCCAGACUCCUACGGGAGGCAGCAGUGGGGAAUCUUCCGCAAUGGAGGAAAGUCUGACGGAGCAACGCCGCGUGAGUGAUGACGGCCUUCGGGUUGUAAAGCUCUGUUAAUCGGGACGAAAGGCCUUCUUGCGAAUAGUGAGAAGGAUUGACGGUACCGGAAUAGAAAGCCACGGCUAACUACGUG
rnacentral:rRNA from 1 species